rnacentral:rRNA from 1 species
CGUGUAGGCAGCUCCGCAAGUCGGGUGUGAAAGCCCUGGGCUCAACCUAGGAAGUGCACUCGAAACUGCGGAGCUUGAGUCCUGGAGAGGAAGGCGGAAUUCUCGGUGUAGAGGUGAAAUUCGUAGAUAUCGAGAGGAACACCAGUGGCGAAGGCGGCCUUCUGGACAGUGACUGACGCUGAGACGCGAAAGCGUGGGGAGCAAACAGGAUUAGAUACCCUGGUAGUCCACGCCGUAAACGAUGGGUGCUAGGUGUCAGGGGCUUUGACCCCUCUGGUGCCGUAGCUAACGCAUUAAGCACCCCGCCUGGGGAGUACGGCCGCAAGGCUAAA